AGUGAACGCUGGCGGUAGGCCUAACACAUGCAAGUCGAACGGCAGCACAGUAAGAGCUUGCGCUUACGGGAGGCGAGUGGCGGACGGGUGAGGAAUACACCGGAAUCUACUUUUUCGUGGGGGAUAACGUAGGGAAACUUACGCUAAUACCGCAUUCGACCUACGGGUGAAAGCAGGGGAUCUUCGGACCUUGUGCGAAUGUAUGAGCCGAUGUCGGAUUAGCUAGUUGGCGGGGUAAAGGCCCACCAAGGCGACGAUCCGUAGCUGGUCUGAGAGGAUGGUCCAGCACACUGGAACUGAGACACAGUCCAGACUCUUACGGGAGGCAGCAGUGGGGAAUAUUGGACGAUGGGCGAAAGCCUGAUCCAGCCAUACCGCGUGAGUGAAGAAGGCCUUCGGGUUGUAGAGCCCUUUUGUUGGGAAAGAAAAGCAGCAGGUUAAUACCCCGCUGUUCUGACGGUACCCAAAGAAUAAGCACCGGCUAACUUCGUG
rnacentral:rRNA from 1 species